UCUUCCUGUCUUCGGUUCAAGCGCACUCACAGAUUGGUUGGUGUUGCGUCGCUCGAUGAACUGCACGAGCGGAGACGGCAGGCGAGCUCUCGCAGACUCUUGUUCGUCUGCUGGGUGCCGGGAGCGGAAGACGUGUCGUUUAGAGGUCCCCUCGUGCGUUGGCGCUCGACCGGGUCCCUCAGACAGCUGUUGGCCUCCCGAACGUUGACGUCUGACCCAAGCCAACGCGUCUUCCUUGCUCCGAUUCUCAGCUACGUCUGUCUAUAGCCGACGUGGCUCUUCUCCUUCUGUAGGCUGCAUGAUCCACGCGUUAUUUGCCGAUUCGCUGCCUACUCUUUUGUGGCGAUUGCUUA
rnacentral:lncRNA from 1 species